rnacentral:antisense_RNA from 1 species
CAUCAACACCUUUACCUCUUCCCGCCUGAAAAUAAAAUAUGAAAUAUAACAAGUAAAUCGCAAUCUACCUUGAAUCUUCUGGAGAGGGAAAGAAGAAACCAUGUCUAGACAAGGUGCUGGAAAGACCCAGGGAAGACACAGGUGAGCUAAGAAAGCAGUAGAAACUGGGUAAUUAAAAGUCAACAUAAUGGCUGGAAACUUGUUCAAGGAGAUAUAAAAAGAAAGAAAAACCAAAAGAGAGACUGUAUAGAUGAACUUUGUCUAUUUACAAUUUUGUCUAAGGCCAAAUCUGCAGUCUGGUCCCACCGCAUGUUAUCUAAGUUGUUCAUAUACCAAUACUAAGAGCUACUGAAAUUCUUCCAAAAAAUCAAAAUCAUUUCCCCUUUGAUUUGCUAGUUUUUCCUCUUGGUAAAUAAAGAUUCAUUUUUUAGUAAUAACUGACCUGCCCUAAGGGUUCACCACUUUCCUCUGAUCUCAAAUCUUGUGCUAGGUCUUUAGGUUACAAUUCAUGAAAAUAAAAAAUAAACAAAAAAAUUCUCUUA